UGCGCAGGCGGACAUGUCAGUGUCUUGUGAAAUCCCACGGCUCAACCGUGGAACUGCAGGGCAUACUGCAUGUCUUGAGGCGGGUAGGGGCUGCCGGAACUCUAGGUGUAGCGGUGAAAUGCGUUGAUAUCUAUCGGAACGCCGAAGGAGAAAUCAGGCAGCUGGGCUUGUCCUGACGCUGAGGUACGAAAGCGUGGGUAGCGAACAGGAUUAGAUACCCUGGUAGUCC
rnacentral:rRNA from 1 species